rnacentral:rRNA from 1 species
UACGUAGGUGGCGAUCGUUGUCCGGAAUUACUGGGUGUAAAGGGCGUGUAGGCGGGACUGCAAGUCAGAUGUGAAAUACCGGGGCUCAACCCCGGGGCUGCAUUUGAAACUGUAGUUCUUGAGUGCAGGAGAGGAAAGCGGAAUUCCUAGUGUAGCGGUGAAAUGCGUAGAUAUUAGGAGGAACACCAGUGGCGAAGGCGGCUUUCUGGACUGUAACUGACGCUGAGGCGCGAAAGCGUGGGGAGCAAACAGG